rnacentral:tRNA from 1 species
UAGCUCAGUCGGUAAAGAGUCUGCCUGCAAUGCAGGAGACCCAGGUUCAAUUCCUGG